GGAUGAGGAUACACCAGCUGGCACCAGUCCUAGAGAUUUGUACUCUUCACGAUGCGGACAAGGCUUUGCAAUUUGCGCCAGUCUCCUUGGC
rnacentral:snoRNA from 1 species